AUACGGAGUGUGCAAGCGUUAUCCGGAAUCAUUGGGUUUAAAGGGUCCGCAGGCGGACUAAUAAGUCAGUGGUGAAAUCCUCUCGCUUAACGAGAGAACUGCCAUUGAAACUGUUAGUCUUGAAUUCGGUCGAAGUAGGCGGAAUGUGUCAUGUAGCGGUGAAAUGCAUAGAUAUGACACAGAACACCGAUAGCGAAGGCAGCUUACUAGACCUGGAUUGACGCUCAUGGACGAAAGCGUGGGGAGCGAACAGGAUUAGAAACCCUAGUAGUCC
rnacentral:rRNA from 1 species